AAAAUAUCUUACUACUUUCUUAGUAACUGCUCAUUCCCCACGAUCUCAAAAUUACCCCCUCCUUCCAACUCUCUCCCACUUUAAUUGACGAAAUCACUGUAACUUCUUCUUCUUCUCUUCUUUUUCAUAACCUUAGAUCCUCCAUUCUUUCUUCUAAAUCCUCCAUUCUUUCUCAUAUCUUUUUUUUAAAUGAGAAGUCGAGCACCAUCCACUAUCUUUUAAUUUUUUGUUUUAUUUUAAAUCUAUAUUGAAUAUAAAAAAACAGUUUCUAAUCAGGCCUCAAAAUCGUCUUUCAUGCCCGAUCACGAGUAUAAUGGCUCCAUCAAUUCCCGGUCCAUCCUCAGCGAUUGUUCAAUUCAAGUAAGUUUUGAAAACAAAGUUUGGAAGAUUAACGUUCAAGUCAUGAUUGAUUUAUAAGUAAUUCCAAUCAUUUUUUUUUGUAUGCUUAAUUUCUAUCUUCUAAUUCUACUUUUCUCAUGAUUGUUGGGCGUGCUCACAAAUUACAAUGGUUAUUUUCGAUUCAGCUUUAUUAAAUUUUACUCAUUUGAAUUUUAUCUCUGAUUUUCUUUUUUUGUGGCCAUCUAAUUAAGUUUUUUUUGGUUUCUAAAUCUCAUAAACUUGGUUUGCAAGCGUGUCUGGAAAAUUAGGAGAUGGAGCAAAGACUUUCCACAACCAGUAACGUAUAGAUGACUUUAUAUUAAUAAUUAUGUAGUAUGCUCACAAAUUUUGUCCGUCUUCCAUCAAUAAUUUGUUUGUUUCAUAUUUUUGAAAUUUAACUAAUUAGAUAAUAGAUUCAAUGGUGGAAGCCCCCUUGGCCCAUUGGUUGACCAAGGGUUCAUUAAUGCUUCUACAUCCAGAGGUCUGGGGUUCGAGUCCUAGAUACUGCGAUUUAUUAAUAAAUUUGCAGAUUAUUGGAGGCAAGUGUGCAGGAGAUCUCCAGCGAUGUACAAUUAUAGCCGUUCGCCAGGAUUCUACACGGAGAAUGAAGUGUCCAUCAAAAACCAUGAAGAAGGAGGUGCAGGAGGUGAGCAUGAAGAAGGAGGUGAAGGAGGUCGUGGAUCUAAUAAGGGUCGGAAGGAAUUGUCCGUUGUAGAAUCGUCUAUGUAACAGUUCUCAUAAUUUGCAAUAAAUAAUAAAUCCAGACGACAAAAAAAAAAAGAUAAUAGAUUCAAUGAACUUCUAUUUAAAAAAAAAACUAAAUGCAACAUAUAUUUGAUUCCCAAAAUAUU
rnacentral:lncRNA from 1 species